AUUGCGUUCCCUCUCUCUCUCUCUCUUGCGCGCUCCCUCUCCUUCUCUCGCUGUCUCCCUUUCCCUCUCCCUCUCCAUCUCUCACAAAUCCCAACCCUCUCUCGCUAUGUUGGGCAUGUUUUAGAUCUAGCAGGCGGGAGAUCAGAGAAUUAUUCUCAUUUUCCGGCGACAUCGAACACAGAGAGAUCCAACUUCUGUUGGCGGAAAUACCUAGUGGAAAAGCUCUAACACAUUCCAAGAAUGCAAGUUGGGGUUCUCAUCAUUACAGUGUUGUGACAUCGAGCCUUGACAUCUGAACAUUCGUAUCUUUCAUCAUGAGUGCAGAGCCCUUCAACAAGUUGGUGAAGCUUGCAGCACGGGCGUUUUAUGAUGACAUACCUAUGAAGGGUGAUAACCAGCCGAAGACUGGGAGGAGUGAUAAUAGAGGAAUGGCUGUGGUGAUCCUUGAUUCUCUUACAAGGCGUCAAUGGGUCAGAGAGGAAGAUCUGGCAAAAGAUUUAAAGCUGCAUUCAAAACAACUUCGCCGCACUUUAAGAUUUUUUGAAGAAGAAAAGCUAGUUACAAGGGAUCAUCGGAGAGAGACAGCUAAAGGCGCAAAGAUAUUUAGUGCUGCAGUAGCUGCCACUGCUGAUAGUCAACAAACUGGGAAAGAUGGUGAAGAAAAGCUGAAAAUGCAUACACACUCUUACUGCUGCUUAGAUUAUGCUCAGAUAUAUGAUGUUGUGAGGUACAGAAUGCACAGGAUGAAGAAAAAACUAAAAGAUGAAUUGGACAACAGGAACACAAUUCAGGAAUAUAUAUGCCCUGAUUGUGCGAGAAGGUAUUCAGCUUUGGAUGCACUGCAACUGAUAAGCCCAAAUGAUGAAUAUUUCCAUUGUGAAAAUUGCAAUGGUGAACUUGUUGCUGAGAGUGACAAGAUAGCUGCUGAAGAAAUGGGAGAUGGAGAUGAUAACGCUAGGAGGAGAAGGCGUGAAAAGUUAAAGGAUAUGCUUCAGAAGAUAGAGGUUCAACUGAAACCAUUGGUUGAUCAACUUACAAGAGUAAAAGAUUUGCCUGUUCCUGAGUUUGGUAGUCUUCAAGCAUGGGAAGCGAGAGCAAAUGCUGCUGGCCGGGCAGUGAAUGGUGAUUCUAGUGCAAAUGAUAACUCUAAAUCUUCUCAGGGGCAAGGAUAUGGUGGAACACCAAUGCCAUAUCUUGGCGAGACGAGGGUUGAAGUUGCUCUAUCUGGUGUCGAGGUGAAGGAAGAGGAUACCAAGCCUGACCCUGCAACUACAUUGAAGGUUUUGCCUCCUUGGAUGAUCAAACAAGGCAUGAAUCUUACAAAAGAACAACGUGGAGAAGUCAAACAGGAAGCAAAGGUUAAUAGUUCAGCACCUGCAGACCUACCUGAUGACAAGAAGUCAAAACCUGAUGAAAAAGAAGAUGAAAAGAAAAUACAGGAUGAAUAUCUUAAGGCUUAUUAUGCUGCUUUUCUCAAGAGGCAACAAGAACAAGAAGAAGCCUCCAAGAGGAAGCAACAGGAAGCAGAAAAGUACAAUGUGACCACAUCUAACAUUUCUAAUGGUCUCGCUGAAACAUCUUCUGAUCGUCGAGUUGGCAUGAAAGCGAAACGGGAGGAAGAGGGAGAUGAUGAUGUUGAAUGGGAGGAGGCACCACCUGCAGGCAAUACAAAAGAAAUUUACAAAUUGCAUGAUCUGAAUGCCCCAGCCGAUGCAUCUGGAGAAGAUGAGGAUGAAAUAGACUGGGAAGAAGGUUGAAACAAUAACGCCUGUCAUUCCAUCUUACUUCUGAGGUUGGUAUAUGGUAGACAUGGCUCGGAAUGAAUGUUUGUUGCAGAUUCCAAUUUCUCCUCCUGAAAAUUUUUACGCUGGUGUAGCUUCAGAAGCUCUUUGGUCUCAAUUGUACUUCUCUAUAAUAGGUCAAAGAAAUGUGUUCGAACCAUAGCAGCAUAUAAUGAGAACCUUUGGGUGAAAGUGAGACGGGGUGGCCUAGACCCAGCUGCUUUGGGGUGGAUUGGAACUGAAGGCUAAAAGGCCUCCAUGCUAGGACCUGGUCAGGACUCCUUGUACAAUAGCCAGCCUGUCCCAGCUUAUUUAAUGAUAGCUGGCGGACAGGGCUAGGGCGGGCCAAGGUAUUAGGCUUGGACGUGCCUCGGAAUGGCCCGGCAUGGACCUUUUACACCUAUAAGUGAAAGUGAAGAUUAGGUUAAGAAUACUAUAUUCAGACACUCCUCCAGCAUGAUCUGUUACUAAGAAAGGAAAAGAACAGUUGGGGUUUUUCAUUUAAGCUGCAUGUAAGUGUAGGGUAGUAGAUUUCUCCGUUAGUUGUUUUUUUUUUUUCCCUUCUUUAUCUGCUUUGAUAUGUUAUUGAAGAAAAAGCCCCACCUGGGUUUCAUUGAAGUGUCAUGUAAAUUAUAUGGACUCAUACUGAUGAAUAAGAUCGACUGUUGGUUGCUCUUCUUGUUUACCUUUUGAGGAUUCGAUGAAACAAUGCUUCUAGAAUCUACUGAUGAA